rnacentral:rRNA from 1 species
GUGCCAGCAGCCGCGGUAAUACGGAGGGUGCAAGCGUUGUUCGGAAUCACUGGGCGUAAAGGGCGUGUAGGCGGUCCGCUAAGUCUGAUGUGAAAGCCCGGGGCUCACCCCCGGAAGGGCAUUGGAAACUGGCGGACUCGAGUCCCGGAGAGGAAGGUGGAAUUCCUGGUGUAGCGGUGAAAUGCGUAGAUAUCAGGAGGAAUACCGGUGGCGAAGGCGGCCUUCUGGACGGUGACUGACGCUGAGACGCGAAAGCGUGGGGAGCAAACAGGAUUAGAUACCCUGGUAGUCC